AUGGCGGCCUUGCUCUGCAUCAGCACCCCGGCCGCCGUCGCCCUUCCCCGCCUCCCGCGCCGACGCGCACCCCUGUGCGAUGUCGCGCUCACCGCUCCGGUGCCUGCCGGUCUCUCCCUCCGCCGCCGCGGCCUCCCAACUACUGGGCUACGCUGCUCCGGCACGGAGGUGGGGGUUACGGAGGCAAUAAGGAUGGCUGCGGCCGCGCCGUUCGGGCACAACUUGGUGGCGGUGGACAUCGCCGGAGACGAGGUGGCUGCCAACAAGUUGGGCUUGAAGGAGAUGGCCACAUAUGUCAUAUAUGGCACCGGUGCUUUCUUUGCCGGAUGGGUUUUGUCCGCUGUUGUUUCAGCAAUUGACUCCAUCCCCUUGCUCCCAAGAAUACUGGAGAUGGUGGGCCUCGGAUACACGGUUUGGUUCAGCUCACGGUAUCUUCUUUUCAAGGACAACAGAGAGGAAUUGUUUGCCAAAGCUUAUGAUCUCAAAAUGAGAAUUGUUGGAUCCGGUGAUGCAUGA
rnacentral:rRNA from 1 species